CUAAUUUUGUGCUGUGCAGGAGCCUUAGCAGACAACCAUGGCAAGCCACCACGACUACCAGGUCUGGCGAAAAUCUCGCUCGGGACACGAUGACAUGCACAGGAUUUCGGCCGAGAUCUUCAAUCAAGAUGACGGUGCCCGGCCCAUAGCGAGCAAGUGGAUCAGAGAAGCCCGGAACAUGCCCACCACCACCACUGACCGAUUGCCCAUCCGAUCUGCCACCUGGAAUAUGUAAAGUGGACAGUGAUUGUCCAGGAAAACAGAAAUGCUGCUUCAUAAAUUGUAGCUUAUGGUGAAUCAAUGUGUAAUAAGUGAUGUGAGGCGGCCGGAUGCAUCUCCGUCCCUCACAGCGGAGGACACAUCGCCGAUCAGCCUCAGUAAUUCUCUCUUCUCGCGGCUUUUCCUUCUCUAGU